rnacentral:lncRNA from 10 species
GUGAUGUGAUGGUGGUGGUGGUGACGGUGGUGAUGAUGGUGAUGGUGGUGGUGAUGGUGAUGGCGGUGGUGGUGGUGGUGAUGGUGGCGAUGGUGAUGACGGUGGUGAUGGCAGUGGUGGUGACGAUGGUGGUGAUGGUGAUGACGGUGGUGAUGGCGGUGGUGGUAAUGGUGAUGGGGCCCUCUGCAGGGUGCUGUGUGGUUUAUUAAAUGGAGCAACUUGGCCCCCAGGCUUGGCAUGGGGCAUUCUCAGCGUGUCAACAGUAGCCUUUUUAUUAAGUGUCACCCAAUCUGGACUCCGGGCCAAGGGCAGGUGUACUGCUGGGGGUCACUUCUGGGAACUCUCCAGGCUCCAGGCCAGCGCCGUCCUCAGGGUCCCAUGGGCCUUCCCCCAGCAGGACCCCGGCUUACACACAAGACCUGGUGCACUCAGGCCCCCUCUCUGGUGGAGCCGGCCUGGAGUCCAGGUCCCCACACCAUGCCCUUGCCAGGAGCCUCCCACUGAAAGCCAGUGUUUGUCCCAAGGCGCUGGGUUGGGCACAGCCACAGUCCCAUGGUGGGUGCCACCUGUGCCAGCGAGAGUGCCACAGCCACCACCUCACCAACACUCGACGGCUCACAGUGACAACCACACCCAUUUAUCAAGUGGUACGGAGAGGCCUGGCCCUUGCCCAGGUCACACAGCCAGUGUAGUCCUGGUUGGUACCAAGGCUGUCACCUUGACGCCAACAUUGAUGCUGUCAUUUUUUUCUUUUUUUGAGAUGGAGUCUCUCUCUGUCACCCAGGCUGAAGUGCAAUGGCGCCAUCUUGGCUCACUGCAACCUCCGCCUGCUGGAUUCAAGCAAUCCUCUCUCCUCAGCCUCCUAAGUAGCUGGAAUUGCAGGUGCCUGCCUCCAUGCCCGACAAUUUUUUUUGUAUUUUUUAGUAGAGAUGGGGUUUCACCAUAUUGGCCAGUCUGGUCUCAAACUCCUGACCUUAAAUGAUCCGCUGGCCUCGGCCUCCCAAAGGGCUGGGAUUACAGGCGUGAGCCACCAUAUUUUAUUUUAUUUAUUUUUUUGAGAUGGAGUCUCACUCUGUUGCCCAGGCUGGAGUGGAGGGGGCGCCAUCUUGGCUCAUUGCAAGCUCCACCUCCCAGCUUCAAGUGAUUUUCCUGCCUCAGCCUCCUGAGUAGCUGGGACUACAGGCGCCCGCCACCACGCUCAGCUAAUUUUUUUGUAUUUUUAGUAGAGACGGGGUUUCACCCUGUUAGCCAGGAUGGUCUUGAUCUCCUGACCUCGUGAUCCACCUGCCUCGGCCUCCCAAAGUGCUGGGAUUACAGGCGUGAGCCACCAC